rnacentral:rRNA from 1 species
CCCGCACAAGCGGUGGAGCAWRWRGUUUAAUUYGAAGCAACGCGCAGAACCUUACCAUCCUUUGACAUGGCGUGUUACGUGGAGAGAUCCACGGUCUCCUUCGGGAGCGCGCACACAGGUGCUGCAUGGCUGUCGUCAGCUCGUGUCGUGAGAUGUUGGGUUAAGUCCCGCAACGAGCGCAACCCACGUCCUCAGUUGCCAUCAUUCAGUUGGGCACUCUGGGGAGACUGCCGGUGAUAAGCCGCGAGGAAGGKGUGGAUGACGUCAAGUCCUCAUGGCCCUUACGGGAUGGGCUACACACGUGCUACAAUGGCGGUGACAKUGGRACGCGRACCCGCGAGGGCAAG